rnacentral:rRNA from 1 species
GACCUCGGAUCAGGUAGGGAUACCCGCUGAACUUAAGCAUAUCAAUAAGCGGAGGAAAAGAAACCAACAGGGAUUGCCUCAGUAACGGCGAGUGAAGCGGCAACAGCUCAAAUUUGAAAUCUGGCCUUCGGGUCCGAGUUGUAAUUUGCAGAGGAUGCUUCGAGCAUGGUCUAGUCUAAGUUCCUUGGAAUAGGACGUCAUAGAGGGUGAGAAUCCCGUAUGCAACUGGGUGCCUAAGCUCAUGUGAAGCUCCUUCGACGAGUCGAGUUGUUUGGGAAUGCAGCUCAAAAUGGGUGGUAAAUUUCAUCUAAAGCUAAAUAUUGGCCAGAGACCGAUAGCGCACAAGUGGAGUGAUCGAAAGAUGAAAAGCACUUUGGAAAGAGAGUUAAAUAGCACGUGAAAUUGUUGAAAGGGAAGCGC